GACGUAGGGCGCGAGCGUUGUCCGGAUUUAUUGGGCGUAAAGAGCUCGUAGGUGGUUUGUCGCGUUGUUCGUGAAAACUCACAGCUCAACUGUGGGCGUGCGGGCGAUACGGGCAGACUUGAGUACUGCAGGGGAGACUGGAAUUCCUGGUGUAGCGGUGGAAUGCGCAGAUAUCAGGAGGAACACCGGUGGCGAAGGCGGGUCUCUGGGCAGUAACUGACGCUGAGGCGCGAAAGCCAGGGGAGCGAACGGG
rnacentral:rRNA from 1 species